rnacentral:rRNA from 1 species
GGUUGCGAUCAUACCAGCACUAAUGCACCGGAUCCCAUCAGAACUCCGCAGUUAAGCGUGCUUGGGCGAGAGUAGUACUAGGAUGGGUGACCCCCUGGGAAGUCCUCGUGUUGCAACCCCCUC